rnacentral:rRNA from 1 species
UCCUGAUGCAGCGACGCCGCGUGAAGGAAGAAGUAUCUCGGUAUAGUAAACUUCUAUCAGCAGGGAAGAUAGUGACGGUACCUGACUAAGAAGCCCCGGCUAACUACGUCGCC